AGCGAACGCUGGCGGCAGGCCUAACACAUGCAAGUCGAACGAACCUUUCGGGGUUAGUGGCGGACGGGUGAGUAACACCUGGGAACGUGCCUUUAGGUUCGGACUAACUCAGGGAAACUUGUUCUACUCCCGAAUGUGCCCCUCGGGGGAAAUAUUUAUCGCCUUUAGAGCGGCCCGAGCCGGGUUAGCUAGUUGCUCUUGGUAAUGGCGCACUAAGGCGUCGGUCAGUAGCUGGGGUGAGAGGAUGAUCAGCCACUUUGGGACUGAGACGCGGCCCGAACUCCUACGGGAGGCAGCAGAGGGGGAUCUUGCGCAAUGGGCGAAAGGCAGACGCAGCCAUGCCGCGUGAAUGAUGAAGGUCUUAGGAUUGUAAAAUUCUUUUACCGGGGACGAUAAUGACGGUACCCGGAGAAGAAGCCCCGGCUAACUUCGUG
rnacentral:rRNA from 1 species